UUCCUCCUUGGUUCAUCCUUCGUUUUCGUGUUGGUUUGGAUCUGAUAUGGUUCGGUAUAUGGGUGUAUCGACUCAUACCGGCGGCCAGCCAGCACGGGUCCGGUUCCGAGUCGGCAAUCCUUGAUCAUAACCAUAUUAUCGUUCGUACAAAUCAGCAAAGUGUACAUUUAAUUCCUAGUCACUUGUCAAACAAUUAAUUCUAUACAUGACC
rnacentral:lncRNA from 1 species